GAAAUGUGACAUUUUUUAGCAUCAGAACCGUUGAGUGCGCUAUCCACUAUUAGAAGGUAUUGUUUUAACGAUACACUAUUUACAAAAAUAACGGUAUGUAAGAUACAGCAUUUCAGUGCAAGCUCACAAUAUUGUUAAUUUUGAGAAGCAAAAAUAUGGUCACAGCCAGGUUCGAACUGGCGACAUUCGACUUAUUAGAUCGACAUGAUAACCGACUACAUCAUGCGACCACUUUUUGAACAAUUGCUUCUUUAAUAUUUUAUAUACUCUUUUAGUGAGUAAUAGAGAUGGAAUUUUAAGAAAACAGUAUUGAUGUUUUUUACAAGAAAGCUUGAGUUUAGAGUGAAUGGGUUGGAGUAUAAAUUUAUUAGAUUUAACAUAGUCUAUAUCGGAUUCUCCCCAUUUUGGAUUCUCUAUUUUUUCAGUUCCCCACAAU